UUAAAUUGCUCAAUUGAAUAAUACAGUUGUCUUCUUUAUCGUGCAUUAAUUUUAUAACAGCUCUAUUGCUCAAGUCAAGCCAUGCCAAUUAUUUCAAAAUUUACGAUAUUUUUAAGUCAAAUUCAAUUUAAGCAUCAUUUGUUAGUAUGCCGUUAAAAAAUAAACCUUUCUAAAUCAAUAACAUUUCAGCACACUGCCAAGUAUCAAAAUCGAAUGUUGCAUGAAUGAGUAGUCAGCGAGGCAUUAAUCAAAAGAGCGAACUCGUGCAAUGGCGAAGAUGAGAUCGGUUGAGAUGCAAGCACGAGUGUGGGUAAAAGCCAUGAAUUGUGAUGCUCAUUUCCAGUGUGAUGACGAUGGGGUUUUGUAUAUAUGUACUAACCAUGAUGAUGCGUUCGUUUCUGCCUGGGGAAAAUGACCAGCGGUUGUCUAGACAGAGUGUAGACUGGUUGCUUUGGAACGCCUGCAACAACACCGUCCCCACCACCUCUACUGCCGAAGCCAAAGCAAGACUAGGCAAGCCAUUCACAAGGAUAGGAUAGGAUUUGCCCGUUUGGGCAAAGAAUCAAUUCGUCCAUUGUGAUACCAUGCAAAGGGUAAACAGACGGAGAAGAACCAACAGGGAGAAAAGGAAGAAGGGACUUGGAUAGCAGGAUGACGACCAAACGCUGCUAUAUCCGCAGGUGGAAAGCCCAGAUGUCUGAAUCUUAACCCCACAAGAGCAGGGCAGCUGAGGAGAAGUUGUGAGAGGAUUCUGCAGAAAGGAAGCAAUCCUAAAUCACACCGCAUGGAUACCUUUUGAAGAAUGCAACGUAAGGAUACCCACAAAACUCGAGCGCUGCAGCCAGCUCUAUAGCUCAGCAGUUUUCCGCUUCGCCACUGUGACCGGGAACUCAAAUUAGCUAAUAUCGAUGUAUGCAGAUGCAGUUAAGAGAAAUCAGGCAUUCCCCGACUAACGCUUCGAACGCUUAAACAAUUAACCCAAGGUCCUCUCUCCUUACAGUAAUUACAGAAGUAAGCAACCAAUUCACUGUUUCUUUAGUUGCGGUUACCUUCACUCGGUAAACACUACAGUGGCCCGGCAGCCUAAAUUAGGGUUUGAUGGGGAGCUGCUCACAGUCAAGCUUCGAACCAUCCGUAAACAUGUUGGCCAUGCCCUUUCUCCAAAUUUUGCACAGCGCUCACUCCUCCCUUGAGGAAAUAUGAGUUGAGAAAGUACCGCUCGGACCCAGCGAGGGUGGAUAUUGAUCAAGUGCCAUGGAUGUGAACUAGAAGUUUCUGAGAAUACUACAGUCUGCGCAGCUUAAGUCUAGGUUGUGGUCCGGAUACUUCAAUAUGAUUGCUGCACGUGCAGCGGCAGUUUUUCCUUCCUCAAAGCUUCAAUCUUUGCACAGAAUUAAAAACAAAAAAUUAACUUUAAACAAUUUUUCUAACCGAAAUUUUAGAAAAAUUUCAAAUAUGCAGUUUUAUAGCGCAUUGAAUUU